ensembl:miRNA
AGACUGAUUAAUGAUAGCAAUGCAUCAUAAAAACUUUAGAAGGAAAGAAGAAUGUUUUGUGGACCAUUUGUGGGGAUGGGGGCAGUUUUAAGUUAUUCAUUUUUUUAAAUCAGU